AGGUCGAGCUAGAGGAAGGGAGCUUGCUCCCGGAUGUUAGCGGCGGACGGGUGAGUAACACGUGGGUAACCUGCCUGUAAGACUGGGAUAACUCCGGGAAACCGGAGCUAAUACCGGAUAGUUCCUUGAACCGCAUGGUUCAAGGAUGAAAGACGGUUUCGGCUGUCACUUACAGAUGGACCCGCGGCGCAUUAGCUAGUUGGUGAGGUAACGGCUCACCAAGGCGACGAUGCGUAGCCGACCUGAGAGGGUGAUCGGCCACACUGGGACUGAGACACGGCCCAGACUCCUACGGGAGGCAGCAGUAGGGAAUCUUCCGCAAUGGACGAAAGUCUGACGGAGCAACGCCGCGUGAGUGAUGAAGGUUUUCGGAUCGUAAAGCUCUGUUGUUAGGGAAGAACAAGUGCAAGAGUAACUGCUUGCACCUUGACGGUACCUAACCAGAAAGCCACGGCUAACUACGUGCCAGCAGCCGCGGUAAUACGUAGGUGGCAAGCGUUGUCCGGAAUUAUUGGGCGUAAAGGGCUCGCAGGCGGUUUCUUAAGUCUGAUGUGAAAGCCCCCGGCUCAACCGGGGAGGGUCAUUGGAAACUGGGAAACUUGAGUGCAGAAGAGGAGAGUGGAAUUCCACGUGUAGCGGUGAAAUGCGUAGAGAUGUGGAGGAACACCAGUGGCGAAGGCGACUCUCUGGUCUGUAACUG
rnacentral:rRNA from 1 species